ensembl:snRNA U1 U1 spliceosomal RNA
AUACUUAUCUGACAGGCAGGCAUUCUGGUCAUGAAGGUGGUUUUCAAGAGCGAGCCUCAUAACUGGCACGCCAGGUAGGCUGACUCCUGCAAUUUCCCCAGAUCCAGGGAACUUGACUGUAAAGUUUGUGAUGUGGGAGACUGUUUUUUAUCUUUUCCUGA